AUGCUUUCACAACUUGACUUCAAAAUAUUUGGUUUGGAGACCAUCAAAGAUCAAUAUGUGCAUGAUGCUGAUUUUAAAGAUGUAAUGCAGAAUUGUAAAGAAGGAAGAAUAUGGAACAAGCUCAUCGUUAAUGAUGGAUUUGUGUUCUGUGCUAACAAGCUAUGCAUUCCAGCUAGCUCCAUUCGUCUUUUGUUGUUGCAGGAGGCGCAUGGUGGAGGAUUAAUGGGACACUUUGGCGUGAAGAAGACGGAGGACGUACUUGCUACACAUUUCUUUUGGCCAAAGAUGAGACGGGAUGUUGAGCGUUUUAUUGCUCGCUGCACUACAUGUCAAAAACCUAAGUCACGACUCAAUCCUCAUGGUUUAUAUAUGCCUUUGCCUGUACCUAGUGUUCCUUGGGAGGAUAUAUCUAUGGACUUUGUUUUAGGUUUACCUUGA
rnacentral:rRNA from 1 species